GAUGAAGAACGCAGUGAAAUGCGAUAAGUAAUGUGAAUUGCAGAAUUCAGUGAAUCAUCGAAUCUUUGAACGCACCUUGCGCUCCUUGGUAUUCCGAGGAGCAUGCCUGUUUGAGUGUCAUGAAAUUCUCAACCUUUUCAGCUUUCUUUGUUGAUCAGGCUUGGAUGUGGGAGUAUGCGGGCUUCUCAGAAGUCGGCUCUCCUGAAAUGCAUUAGCGGGACCUUUGUUGCCUGGCUUUGGUGUGAUAAUUAUCUACGCCAUUGUGGUCAAGCAGCUUAAAAUGAGGUUUCAGCUUCUAACCGUCUCCCCUGAGACAACUUUUUGACAAUUUGACCUCAAAUCAGGUAGGACUACCCGCUGAACUUAAGCAUAUCAAUAAGCGGAGGA
rnacentral:misc_RNA from 1 species